rnacentral:lncRNA from 1 species
ACCAAUUUACUAGUUUUACAUAGCAGACAUUGCUUUCUCAAGAAAAUUUUGAUCUCAUGUAGUCAUAUUCUAGUUUAGGAUAGGAAAUUAAUUUGUUUAUGUAAAAUAGGAUAAACUGAGGGAUAUUUGUGUGUAAACUGAGUCAGAGUACACAGCAGAUGCUCGUUUAUAUAGACUGAUAGUAAUAAUCGCACAUAAUUAGAGGAGAUAAGUUUCUCCUAAAUGAGAUAUGUUUCCUACAAAUCAGAUCCUAAUCAAAUCUAUACAUUAAAUAUUUCUGAUUCUCAACACUCCCCCUCAAGCUGAAGCUUACUAAGCUUUCAGCUUGUUACAAGAAAAUCAUUUGUUUCCAACAAAAAGAUAUAAAUUGAGCUCCAAUAAAGACAAUAUCUUGAAGACAACUCAGGGAUCUUGGUGAAGUCAGGGAAUAUUGCUUGAAAGAGAGAGCUGGAAUACCCACCAGCCUAAGAAAAUUCAAAGCAAGUCCCGACUUUCUUAAAACCAACAUUUGAAAGCUUCAAACAAUAUAUUAAUUUUCAUCUGGUCAUUCUUUUUAAUUUUAGUAGGAAUCGAUUCUCUCUCUCUUCCCCUUUGCUGUUUUGUAUACAUGUUACAUGAGAGGUUGGAAACUUGGAGACGAGCUCUAGAAACACAUGGCUUUCGCCUAAGCAGAAGCAAAUCGGAGUAUAUGGAAUGUAAGUUCAACAAAAGAAGGAGAGUUUCUAACUCAGAGGUAAAAAUAGGAGACCAUAUUAUCCCUCUAGUCACAUGGUUUAAAUAUCUUGGGUCUGUAAUACAGGAUGAUGGGGAAAUUGAAGGGGAUGUGAAUCAUCGCAUUCAAGCAGGAUGGAUGAAAUGGAGAAAAGCAUCGGGGGUGUUAUGUGAUGCAAAGGUACCGAUCAAGCUAAAGGGAAAGUUUUAUCGGACUGCGGUAAGACCGGCGAUUUUGUACGGAACAGAAUGUUGGGCGGUCAAGAGCCAACAUGAGAAUAAAGUAGGUGUAGCGGAGAUGAGGAUGUUGCGGUGGAUGUGUGGUAAGACUCGACAGGAUAAAAUUAGAAACGAAGCUAUUAGAGAGAGGGUUGGACUAGCGCCUAUUGUAGAGAAGAUGGUGGAAAAUAGACUUAGGUGGUUUGGGCAUGUAGAGAGAAGACCGGUAGACUCUGUAGUGAGGAGAGUAGACCAGAUGGAGAGAAGACAAACAAUUCGAGGCAGAGGAAGACCCAAAAAGACUAUAAGAGAGGUUAUCAAAAAGGAUCUCGAAAUUAAUGGUUUGGAUAGAAGUAUGGUACUUGAUAGAACAUUAUGGCGGAAGUUGAUCCAUGUAGCCGACCCCACCUAGUGGGAUAAGGCGUUGUUGUUGUUGUUGUUGUUGUUGUUACAUUUGCAUUUUUUAUAGUGGGCUGCAUGGGUUGGGCCAGGGCCAAACUAUUUGAGAAUUGAGUCAAAUGAUUAUUUGGCAAUUGCUAAAUGCACCCUUUAAUUGGUAAAUGUACCUCAUUCCUUUUUUUUAGAUACCCAAAAUACUUUUUUUUAAUCUAUAUAACUGUAAAAUCCUAUUCUCUACAGCCAAUUCUCAUUGUUCCUUAAACCCUUCUUUUUUUCUCCCCUCUCCCUCUUCUCUCAUCUGUCAAAGGUAUUAGAGUUCUAUGUUAAUCUUAUUCUGAUAGGCCCCUAGUGCAGGAUGUGGCCCAAGUAAAUAAGCCCAAAGUGUGGGGAGUGUAUGUGAGGAAGAAUACGAGAGCGGAGAGACAAUGAUGAUGUGGCAGUGAGAGAAAGAGAGUGAGGAUGGAUGGUGAGGUAUUCUGUUAUAGAGGGACAUGGGGGUGAGUGAGGAGGGAUUAUGAUUGUGCGUAUCAUUCUGUUAGGCAGAGAAUACAUUCAUUCUCUGAGAGGAGCUAGGCUCUGUGGGUAGUAGGUUUUCCCCUACUGCUAUUUCUCUUAUUUCAUCAAUAACAUACACUUGAUUCCUUUCCUUUUUCUCUAUUUAUGCCUAUUUCUGUUCAUCUAUAAAUCUGGUCUGCAUCAUAUUCCAUUGUAAUCCUACUUCCAAUCAUAUUGUUUACCUAAAUUUGUUCAUUCAAAUUUUCGAUUUUACAAUUUUCUAUUCAAGAUGUUACAGUUUUUUUUUUAUUUGUGGCUAG